AGGGGAGAGGGGAGAGGGGGGUUGGGGCGGGCAUCCUGAAGUCCUGUCCAAUGUGGCCUUUGCGUCUGACUCCUUGUGGGCGUGUCCAGUUCGUCGCUUUCUGAUUGGUCGUCGAGGAGGAAGAUGAACUUACGUGAUGGUCUUCAUCUCCUUCUUCUCAGCGUCGGGGCGGGCCCUGUUCAGCACCUUGAGGAAGUCUGAGGUCUUGGCCCUCAUGCGUGUGUGAAUGUAGGCCUGAGGACACAAAAUGGCCUCUUUCAAACUUUGCAACCUUGCAUUCUUGAAUAUGGUAGAAACCCUUAUUAACAGUAUUAUUACAUAUAUGAAGAACACCAGUGUGUCCUUUCUACUGAGUAUGUUUGCGUUCCGUUUGUUGCUGCAUAGUAAUUAAUAACGGUACUUUGGAAAGUGUACAUUUUGACUGGAAA